rnacentral:rRNA from 1 species
UACGUAGGGGGCAAGCGUUAUCCGGAUUUACUGGGUGUAAAGGGAGCGUAGACGGCAGCGCAAGUCUGGGGUGAAAUGCCGGGGCUCAACCCCGGAACUGCUUUGGAAACUGUGCAGCUAGAGUGCGGGAGAGGUAAGCGGAAUUCCUAGUGUAGCGGUGAAAUGCGUAGAUAUUAGGAGGAACACCAGUGGCGAAGGCGGCUUACUGGACCGUAACUGACGUUGAGGCUCGAAAGCGUGGGGAGCAAACAGG